rnacentral:rRNA from 1 species
AACGAACGCUGGCGGCAUGCCUAACACAUGCAAGUCGAACGAGACCUUCGGGUCUAGUGGCGCACGGGUGCGUAACGCGUGGGAACCUGCCCUUAGGUUCGGAAUAACUCCCCGAAAGGGGUGCUAAUACCGGAUAAUGUCUUCGGACCAAAGAUUUAUCGCCUUUGGAUGGGCCCGCGUUGGAUUAGCUAGUUGGUAGGGUAAAAGCCUACCAAGGCGACGUUCCAUAGCUGGUCUGAGAGGAUGAUCAGCCACACUGGGACUGAGACACGGCCCAGACUCCGACGGGAGGCAGCAGUGGGGAAUAUUGGACGAUGGGCGAAAGCCUGAUCCAGCAAUGCCGCGUGAGUGAUGAAGGCCUUAGGGUUGUAAAGCUCUUUUACCCGGGAUGAUAAUGACAGUACCGGGAGAAUAAGCUCCGGCUAACUCCGUG